CGCAGACCGACCAGGGACCAACUGCAGACGAGAACUGGAGAGAAAGUGAAGGAAGAGCCCUCAGGGUGAAAGCGUUAUAAAGAGUUAACGAUAAAAAAUAGCUUUAUAACCCACCAAGGAUGGAGAGAUAGCAUCCAAGGAGCUAAAGAGAAAUCUCACUUUAGACACCUGGGGAACUCGAAUGAAAAGA
rnacentral:sRNA from 10 species